rnacentral:lncRNA from 1 species
AUGAACCAAGGCUGUCUCCCAGGGCUCUUGUCCUUAAAAGGCUGGAAGAUCUCAGGACUGGUACUUCCGCAAGACUACAGAAGUUGUACCAAAUGGGAGGAAAAUCUGCAGGUUGGCUACGCAAGAAGACUUCCAUCAGUAGUCAAGAAAUUUGUAUGGCGUCUCUUCCAGGACUGGAGACUUCUUGCUCUACAGGUGAGACCUUUUCCAUCCUUUCUGCUUCUCUGCCCCCAGAUCUUUGUGUGCAUGAGUAGAGAUCAGCUCCUUUCCCAUUCCCCUAAAUCAUAAUCCAUUUUCUGUCCCAGGAGCCAGGGUUGUUGUGUUGAUUGUGUGAGUUGUACCCUAUACAAAAGGGCUCACUUAAGUGGCAGCAUGCAGAAGGGGUGGAUAGAGGUUGAAAUCUAGCUCAGGCUCCCCUCACCAAAUCCUGUGUUGGGGGAAGGUGCCUUUUCCUAACUCACACAAAGGUACCGUAUGAGCUAGCCACAGCCAUGCCACAUCUGACACUAUAAUAUUCUUUUUUUUUUUUGUCUUUUUUUUUGCUAUUUCUUUGGGCCGCUCCCGCGGCAUAUGGAGGUUCCCAGGCUAGGGGUCAAAUCGGAGCUGUAGCCCAUGGCCUACGCCAGAGCCACAGCAACGUGGGAUCCGAGCUGCAUCUGCAACCUACACCACAGCUCACGGCAAUGCCAGAUCGUUAACCCACUGAGCAAGGGCAGGGACCGAACCCGCAACCUCAUGGUUCCUAGUCAGAUUCAUUAACCACUGCGCCACGACGGGAACUCCUGACACUAUAAUAUUAUUAUUAUUUUUUUUGUCUUUUUUUUUGUUGUUGUUAUUGUUGUUGUUGUUGUUGUUGCUAUUUCUUGGGCCGCUCCCGCGGCAUAUGGAGGUUCCCAGGCUAGGGGUCUAAUUGGAGCUGUAGCCACUGGCCUAUGCCAGAGCCACAGCAACGCGGGAUCCAAGCCGUGUCUGCAACCUACACCACAGCUCACGGCAACGCCGGAUUGCUAACCCACUGAGCAAGGGCAGGGACCGAACCCGCAACCUCAUGGUUCCUAGUCGGAUUCGUUAACCACUGCGCUACAACGGGAACUCCUACUAUAAUAUUCUUAAAGAAAGUCCUCUUAGACUCCAUAGAUGAAGCCAGGCUUCUGAUUCCCUUGGUAAAACAUACUGACCAGUGUCCAUGGCACACUCAUGUCAGCAGCUGGCAGACCCACUAUACUGGAUACUUCACACCCUCCACUUAUGUUAUAUAUAUAUCGAACAUCACUAUUGACUGGUUUCUACCAGUAUUACUUGUUUUAACUAUCUAAAUUAUUUAAAAACUGGAAAAGAAAAAACUAAUGACAAUGUGAAAAAGCAGAGAGUUGUGGUUUUUGUGAAAACUAAGUGCAAUACUUUGCAAAGAUUGGAAAGGGUCGAAUAUUAGAAAUAGCUGUUGAUUUAGUUGUGGGGAGGCAGUUAUAAAAAGUUGAAAAAGGAAAAUGUGAAAUCCACCAUUCUGCAUUUGAGUUACUUUAUAUGGGAUUUGCAAUUCUUGAUUCACUUUAAAGAAACUCAAGCACGAAAUUAUAGAACAUGAAUUAUGGGUAUAGUUCAUGAGAGAAGGAUAUCACUGCAACCUUCAGACCCAUAUUACCAAAAAAAUAAUAAUAACAAUUUUUUUCUAAACUUUGCCCUUAUAUUGAAAAACUUAUAUUUAUGUGGUUUUUUUAAUUGAAGUAUACUUGGUCUACAAUAUUAUAUUAGGUUUGGGUGUAUAACAUAGUGAUUCAGUACUUUUACAUUUUAUGCUAUAUUAAAAGUUAUUACAAGAUAAUGGCUAUAAGUCCCUGUGUUAUACAAUAUAUACUUGUUGCUUAUCUAUUUCAUACAUAGUCAUUUGUUUCUCUUAAUCCAAAUACCCUAAGGCCUCCCUUUCCCUCUUCCUACUCAUAAUCACUAGUUUGUUCUCUGUAUCUGUGAGUCUAUUUCUGUCAUGCUAUAGACUUUGAUUUGUAUUAUUUUUUAGAUUCCAUAUAUAAGUAAUAGCAUUCAGUAUUUGUCUUUAAAUGAUUUCACUAAGCAUAAUAUUCUCUAUCCAUCCACGUUGCAUCAAAUGACAGAAAUUCACACUUGUUUUAUGGCCGAGUAAUAGAUCAUUGCAUGUAUACCAUAUAUUCUUUUUAAAUUUUUUUUCAUUGAUGUAUAGUUGAUAUACACUGUCAUGUUAGUUUCAAGUAUACAAUACAGUGAUUCAGAUAUAUAUAUAUAUAUAUGUAUAUAUAUAUUUUUUUCAGGUUAUUUUCCCUUUUUGGUUACUACAAAACAUUGAGUAUAUUUCUCUGUGCUAUGUAGUAGGUUCUUGUUGGUUAUAUAUUUUAUAUAUAGUAGUGUGUAUAUGUUCAUCCCAAACUCCUAAUUUGUCCCUCUCCUCCCCCUUUUCCUUUUUUGUAACUGUAAGUUUGUUUUCUAUGUCUGUAUACCACAUCUUCUUUAUCCAUUUGUCUGUUAAUGGACACUCAGGUUGCUUCCAUGUCUUGAUUAUUGUAGUUUUCUGGUAUAUUCUGAAGACUGGGAGGGUGAUACUUCCAGCUUUUUUCUUUAGAUUGCUUUGGCAAUUUAGGGUCUUUUGUGAUUUCACAUAAAUUUUAGGAUUGUUUUUUCUGGUUCUUUGAGAAAAGAUGUCAUGGAUAGAGAUUUCAUUAAAACUGUAGAUUGCUUUGGAUGGUAUGGCCAUUUUAACAGUAUUAAUUCUCUCCAAUGCAAGAAAACAGGAUAUCUUUACAUUUCUUUGCAUAGUCCUCAAUCAUCAAUGUGAAUGUGGUUUUUUUUUUUUUUUUUUUUUUUUUUUUCCCCUUUUAAAACAGGGCCUUUUUUUUUUUUUUUUUUUUUUUUUAUUUUCCCCCUUUACAGCAAGGGGGUCAGGUUAUCCUUAGAUGUAUACAUUACAAUUACAGUUUUUCCCCCACCAUUUCUUCUGUUGCAACAUGAGUAUCUAGACAUAGUUCUCAAUGCUAUUCAGCGGGAUCUCCUUGUAAAUCUAUUCUAGGUUGUGUCUGAUAAGCCCAAGCUCCCGAUCCCUCCCACUCCCUCCCCCUCCCAUCAGGCAACCACAAGUCUCUUCUCCAAGUCCAUGAUUUUCUUUUCUGAGGAGAUGUUCAUUUGUGCUGGAUAUUAGAUUCCAGUUAUAAGUGAUAUCAUAUGGUAUUUGUCUUUGUCUUUCUGGCUCAUUUCACUCAGUAUGAGAUUCUCUAGUUCCAUCCAUGUUGCUGCAAAUGGCAUUAUGUCAUCCUUUUUUAUGGCUGGGUAGUAUUCCAUUGUGUAUAUAUACCACCUCUUCCGAAUCCAAUCAUCUGUUGAUGGACAUUUGGGUUGUUUCCAUGUCCUGGCUAUUGUGAAUAGUGCUGCAAUGAACAUGCGGGUGCAUGUGUCUCUUUUAAGUAGAGCUUUGUCCGGAUAGAUGCCCAAGAGUGGGAUUGCAGGGUCAUAUGGAAGUUCUAUGUAUAGAUUUCUAAGGUAUCUCCAAACUGUUCUCCAUAGUGGCUGUACCAGUUUACAUUCCCACCAGCAGUGCAGGAGGGUUCCCUUUUCUCCACAGCCCCUCCAGCACUUGCCAUUUCCAUCAUCAAUGUUUUAUAGUUUUCAGUGUAUAGGUCUUUCACCUCCUUGAUUAAGUUUAUUCCUAAGUAUUUUAUUCUUUUUGAUGCCAUUUUAAACAAGAUUUUAAAGUAUUUUCACUUCUCUGUUAAUUCAUUAUUAGUUUAUAGAAAAGUAGCAGACUUGUGUAUAUUAAUCUUGUACCCUGAUCCUUUUUAUAUAUUGCUGGAUUCAGUUUGUUAACAUUUUGCUGAGGAUUUGUACAAUUAUAGUCAUCAACGAUAUUGGUCUGUAAUUUUGUUGGUUUUUUUUAACAGUGUUUAUGCCUGAUUUUGGUAUCAGAAUAAUGAUGGCCUUGUAGAAUGAAUUUACGAAUGUUCUAUGCUCUUCAAUUUUUUGAAAUAAUUUGAGAAGGAUAGGUACUAGUUCUUCUUUAUAUGUUUGGUAGAAUUCCCCUGUAAAGCUGUCUGGUUCUAGAUUUUUGUUUGCUAGGAGUUUGGUUUUUUUUUUUUCCCAAUUACAAAUUCAAUUUCACUACUAGUGAUCAGUCUCUUCAAAUUGUCUGUUUUUUGUUUGUUUGUUUGUUUGUUUGUUUAGGACCACACCCGCAGGAUAUGGGGUUGAAUCAGAGCUGUAGUCAUUGGCCUAUGCCAUAGCAAUGCCAGAUCCAAGCUGCAUCUGAGACCUAUACCACAGCUCAUGGCAAAGUCAGAUCCUUAACCCACCGAGCAAGGACAGGGAUCAAACCUGCAUCUUCAUGGAUACUAGUCAGAUUUGUUUCCGCUGAGCCACGAUGGGAACUCCUGUCUGUUUUUUCUUCAUUCAGGUGUGGCUGGUUGUAUGUGUCUAGAAAUUUGGCCAUUUCUUCCAGGUUGUCCAAUUUGUUGGCAUAUAACUAUUCAUAGAAUUGUCUUAUAAUUGUUUGUAUCUGUGUGGUAUUGGUUGUUACUUCUCUUUCGUUUCUUAUUUUGUUUAUUUGAUUCCUCUCUUCUCUUCUUGGUGAGCCUGGCUAAAAUUUUAUCAGUGUUGCUUGUCUUUUCAAAAAACUAGCUCUUGGAGUUCCUGUUGUGGCACAGUGGUUAACGAAUCCGACUAGGAACCAUGAGGUUGCAGGUUCGAUCCCUGGCCUUGCUCAGUGGGUUAAAGAUCCGGCAUUGCCAUGACCUGUGCUAUAGCUCGCAGAUGCGGCUCGGAUCCC